rnacentral:tRNA from 1 species
GGACCAUAGCUCAGCUGGGAGAGCACCUGACUUUUAAUCAGGGUGUCCCGCGUUCGAGUCGCGGAUAGAUCACCA